GGGGCUGACCGGUUUUGACAGCGGGCAGAAGUGGUUUGUAAGCAUGCAGUGCGUCGUUGAUUGGCACUUUAAUCUCGGUUGACAAAACAUUAACUGGCGAAAAUAAUUACGCUCUCGCUGCUUAAUCGAAGUAUAGUAGAUCAAAGCUUUAUUCCGGUACAAGGUACUGGAACGAGAUAUCACCCGGAAGCUGUGGCUUCGAAGCAAUCCGAUCAGGUGGUACAGCAAUAUCGGAGAUAGUCAAAUGUUUGCCUUAGACAUUUGAUGAAAAUUUAAAGGCUAAGUUUAAAGUUGGUAGCUUCGGUCUUGCUUUAAGCCGACAAUUUAAGCGAAGAUAAGCAUGUAGAAAGCAAAUUAAUUCCUCGUUUGGACGAGAGUUCGAAUCUCUCCAGCUCCACUU
rnacentral:tmRNA from 1 species